GGGGAUCAGUGGCGAACGGGUGAGUAACACGUGGGCAACCUGCCCUCAGCUCUGGGAUAACUCCAAGAAAUUGGGGCUAAUACUGGAUAUGACCGCUGACCGCAUGGUCUGGUGGUGGAAAGAUUUAUCGGCUGGGGAUGGGCCCGCGGCCUAUCAGCUUGUUGGUGGGGUAGUGGCCUACCAAGGCGACGACGGGUAGCCGGCCUGAGAGGGUGACCGGCCACACUGGGACUGAGACACGGCCCAGACUCCUACGGGAGGCAGCAGUGGGGAAUAUUGCGCAAUGGGCGAAAGCCUGACGCAGCGACGCCGCGUGGGGGAUGACGGCCUUCGGGUUGUAAACCUCUUUCAGCAGGGACGAAGCGAAAGUGACGGUACCUGCAGAAGAAGCACCGGCCAACUACGUGCCAGCAGCCGCGGUAAUACGUAGGGUGCAAGCGUUGUCCGGAAUUAUUGGGCGUAAAGAGCUCGUAGGCGGUUUGUUGCGUCGGCUGUGAAAACCUGAGGCUCAACCUCAGGCCUGCAGUCGAUACGAGCAGACUAGAGUGUUGCAGGGGAGACUGGAAUUCCUGGUGUAGCGGUGAAAUGCGCAGAUAUCAGGAGGAACACCGGUGGCGAAGGCGGGUCUCUGGGCAACAAC
rnacentral:rRNA from 1 species